rnacentral:rRNA from 1 species
GGAUGCUACGGGACGCAGCAGUGAGGAAUAUUGGUCAAUGGCCGAGAGGCUGAAUCAGCCAAGUCGCGUGAGGGAAGACGGCCAUACGGGUUGUAAACCUCUUUUGUCGGGGAGCAAAGAGAGUCACGUGUGACUCAUUGAGAGUACCCGAAGAAAAAGCAUCGGCUAACUCCGUGCCAGCAGCCGCGGUAAUACGGAGUAUGCUAGCGUUAUCCGGAUUUAUUGGGUUUAAAGGGUGCGCAGGCGGAGGUGCAGGU